AACGAACGCUGGCGGCAGGCUUAACACAUGCAAGUCGAGCGCCCCGCAAGGGGAGCGGCAGACGGGUGAGUAACACGUGGGAACGUGCCCAAAGGUACGGAACAACUCCGGGAAACUGGAGCUAAUACCGUAUGUGCCCUUCGGGGGAAAGAUUUAUCGCCUUUGGAUCGGCCCGCGUCUGAUUAGCUAGUUGGUGGGGUAAUGGCCUACCAAGGCGACGAUCAGUAGCUGGUCUGAGAGGAUGAUCAGCCACACUGGGACUGAGACACGGCCCAGACUCCUACGGGAGGCAGCAGUGGGGAAUAUUGGACAAUGGGCGCAAGCCUGAUCCAGCCAUGCCGCGAGAGUGAUGAAGGCCUUAGGGUUGUAAAGCUCUUUCGCCAGGGACGAUAAUGACGGUACCUGGAUAAGAAGCCCCGGCUAACUUCGUGCCAGCCGCCGCGGUAAGAC
rnacentral:rRNA from 1 species